rnacentral:lncRNA from 1 species
AGCCUGGAGAACAAGAGUGAGACUCCAUCUCAAAAAAAAAGAAAAAAAAUAGGCAGAAUUAAAAGUGAAUUGUGUGCAAUUUAAGUGCUAAGAAGUAGCAUCAACUGGAUGUCAUCCCUUUCAUAUUUUCAUGAGUAACCUCAUCCCAAAAAAGAUUUCAGUCCAGGCUUCGUUAAUAUAAUCAUUGCUUAAAAAAUUCUUUGGGCUCAAACUGGAGAAGGAGAGAUUUUUUUCCUGUUGAAUUCAGAUGAAACUAGCAUCUUGGAAUGCUUGCUCUGGCAGGUAGAGAAGAGCAUAUAGAGGGAAUUGUGAGUAAGCCAGAUUAAUGCACCAGAAAAAGUAGAAACUGCACCAGAAAAAGUAGAAACUGCACCAGAAAAAGUAGAAACUGUACCAAGAACAGGAAGGACGGAUUGGCACCAGUGAAUUCAAACAAUAACCAGUGCCAGCUGGAGCCCCAUCAUGGUGAGGCUCUACAAUGAGUUCAUGGAGAAGACUGUGGAUGGGUCAUGGACAAGACUUCCAGGUUGUUGGUGCUCUGUGCAAUUCCUUAAAGAAGCAGACCUUACUAAGAUUGCUAAAGCUGUCCCUGCCAUCUUCUUACAAAUGAAGUGACGCAGAUGCAAGGUGCUGCAAGGCCCACCUCCUCCUGCUCUGACAGGCAGACAGGAAACCAAAG